GACGAACGCUGGCGGCGUGCUUAACACAUGCAAGUCGAACGGAAAGGCCCUGCUUUUGUGGGGUGCUCGAGUGGCGAACGGGUGAGUAACACGUGAGUAACCUGCCCUUGACUUUGGGAUAACUUCAGGAAACUGGGGCUACUACCGGAUAGGAGCUCCUGCUGCAUGGUGGGGGGUGGAAAGUUUCGGCGGGUGUGGAUGGAUUCGCGGCUUAUCAGCUUGUUGGUGGGGUAGUGGCUUACCAAGGAUGUGACGGAUAGGCGGCCUGGGAGGGUGACCGGGCACAUGGGGACUGAGGGACGGCGCAGACUGCAAUGGUAGGCAGCGGGGGCAAGUAUGGCACAGUCAUCGGGCGCCUGAUACGGCAACGCCGCGGGUGUGAAGACGGCUUUUGGGUUGUAAAACGCAUUCGCUUGUGACGCAGCGGGAGUGACGGUAAUGGAUAAAGAAGCACCGGCUAACUACGUG
rnacentral:rRNA from 1 species